rnacentral:misc_RNA from 1 species
CAACCCUCAGGCCCUGCCUGGCGUUGGAGGACUGCACUGCAGCCUCCCAAAGCAAGCGGCGGCGGCGCCCCAAAACCGAACGCAGUAGUUACAUCUCGUUCUGGAUCUGGGACGUUGUCCGGCCGGAAAACCCCCAACUAUCAAGU